UGGCGGCAGGCUCUACAUGUGUAUCGAGCGAGAAAGGUUUCGGACUGAUUACAGCGGCGGACGGGUGAGUAACGCGUAGGAAUCUACCCAGUAGUGGGGGACAACUUAGGGAAACUUAAGCUAAUACCGCAUACGCCCUGAGGGUGGAAAGCGGGGGAUCUUCGGACCUCGCGCUAUUGGAAGAGCCUGCGUUAGAUUAGCUAGUUGGUGGGGUAAAGGCUCACCAAGGCGACGAUCUAUAGCUGGUCUGAGAGGAUGAUCAGCCACACUGGGACUGAGACACGGCCCAGACUCCUACGGGAGGCAGCAGUGGGGAAUAUUGCGCAAUGGGCGAAAGCCUGAUCCAGCAAUGCCGCGUGAGUGAUGAAGGCCUUAGGGUUGUAAAGCUCUUUUACCCGGGAUGAUAAUGACAGUACCGGGAGAAUAAGCUCCGGCUAACUCCGU
rnacentral:rRNA from 1 species